CAGUACCUGGAAAAGUUUAUAGGAAGAGGUAAGCUCAUCUGGCUGUACCCUCGUCUGGAUCUGAAAUGGCACUGGUUGAAUACAGAGGCAUUAAAUGAGCAUGAAAAUGUUUUUCUUCUCAUUGUUUCAGUAAGCAGGUGUGUGCAGAUACCAAUGGUCGUACGUUUUCUCUUCUCCAUAGAGCAUUAUCAAAUGUUGCCAGGGAAUGACAAAACUUUCUCCCCUCUACGGUUCUCUGAGCUGCUGAAGUACAUAGUUUGUAAAGUCAAAGUGAGAUUUUUGUUUUAGUUAAAAAUAGUGCUAAAACUUUGCCUAAUUUGUCUUACAAUGCUUUUGUCUGAUAUGUGCAAUCAUCUCUUGAUAUUUAAGAUGUGAAUUAGCUAGUCAUAGACAAUUUAUGCAGAUCUUGGAAAAUAUUCUGUGGGAUACAGAUUGUAAAUAUUUUUGUAAUACAUUACUUUUGAUCUGAAUUCCAUAAAAUAGUUGUGUAUUAUAAAUAGAUUGUACUUCUAUAGCAGUAAUAAUUAUAAUGAUUAACAAAUGUACACUGGUUUCUAGCUACUUCAUGCAAAGAAGUAUGUUUUGCCUUAAAAAUAUACCAGUGAAGAAGUAGUACAAUUGGAAUUGUUUUGUCCGUAACUGUGGAUUCUCAUUUUUAUGUGCUGGCAGUCAUCCAGUAGAGCAGCAUUUCUUACGCUAUGACAGCAACAUUAACUCUACAGUAGCCAAAAUAAAGCAAAUUUACACAACUCUGGAAAUCA
rnacentral:lncRNA from 1 species